GAUGAACGCUGGCGGCGUGCCUAAUACAUGCAAGUCGAGCGAACAGACGAGGAGCUUGCUCCUCUGACGUUAGCGGCGGACGGGUGAGUAACACGUGGAUAACCUACCUAUAAGACUGGGAUAACUUCGGGAAACCGGAGCUAAUACCGGAUAAUAUAUUGAACCGCAUGGUUCAAUAGUGAAAGACGGUUUUGCUGUCACUUAUAGAUGGAUCCGCGCCGCAUUAGCUAGUUGGUAAGGUAACGGCUUACCAAGGCAACGAUGCGUAACCGACCUGAGAGGAUGAUCGGCCACACUGGAACUGAGACACGGUCCAGACUCCUACGGGAGGCAGCAGUAGGGAAUCUUCCGCAAUGGGCGAAAGCUUGACGGAGCAACGCCGCGUGAGUGAUGAAGGUCUUCGGAUCGUAAAACUCUGUUAUUAGGGAAGAACAAAUGUGUAAGUAACUAUGCACGUCUUGACGGUACCUAAUCAGAAAGCCACGGCUAACUACGUG
rnacentral:rRNA from 1 species